UACGGAGGGUGCGAGCGUUGUCCGGAAUCAUUGGGCGUAAAGGGCGCGUAGGUGGCCCGGUCAGUUCGUGGUGAAAGCGCGGGCUCAACCCUGCGUCGGCCAUGAAUACUGCCGCGGCUGGAGCACUGUAGAGGCAGGCGGAAUUCCGGGUGUAGCGGUGGAAUGCGUAGAGAUCCGGAAGAACACCGGUGGCGAAGGCGGCCUGCUGGGCAGUUGCUGACACUGAGGCGCGACAGCGUGGGAGCAAACAGG
rnacentral:rRNA from 1 species